rnacentral:sRNA from 1 species
AUCUGGCUGCAGUAUCCGCCUUGCCUUUGACCACGGAUGUACUGGCACUGAUGCGAGGACGGAUGACGAAAGGCCGGUUUGUUCCGGCCUUUUUGUUU